rnacentral:rRNA from 1 species
CAGUCGCCGCGGUAAUACGUAGGUGGCAAGCGUUGUCCGGAAUUAUUGGGCGUAAAGGGCUCGCAGGCGGUUUCUUAAGUCUGAUGUGAAAGCCCCCGGCUCAACCGGGGAGGGUCAUUGGAAACUGGGAAACUUGGGUGCAGAAGAGGUGAGUGGAAUUCCACGUGUAGCGGUGAAAUGCGUAGAGAUGUGGAGGAACACCAGUGGCGAAGGCGACCCUCUGGUCUGUAACUGACGCUGAGGAGCGAAAGCGUGGGGAGCGAACAGGAUUAGAUACCCGUGUAGUCCCUGUCUCUUAUAC